UGGUUCUGGCAUCGAUGAAGAACGCAGCGAAAUGCGAUAAGUAAUGUGAAUUGCAGAAUUCAGUGAAUCAUCGAAUCUUUGAACGCACAUUGCGCCCCUUGGUAUUCCGGGGGGCAUGCCUGUUCGAGCGUCAUAUCGUCCAUCAAGCCCAGCUUGGUAUUGGGGCAUACCGUCCGCGGUAGCCCCCAAAAUCAGUGGCGGCGGCGGCUGGCCCUAAGCGUAGUAGCAAACCUCGCUAUAGGUCCCGGCGGUGCCUGUCAAACCAACCCCAAUUUUCGUAGGAUGACCUCGGAUCAGGUAGGGAUACCCGCUGA
rnacentral:misc_RNA from 1 species